AUACGGAGGAUGCGAGCGUUAUCCGGAUUUAUUGGGCUUAAAGGGAGCGUAGGCGGGAGCUUAAGUCAGCGGUUAAAUGGUGCGGCUCAACCGUGCCCUGCCGUUGAAAAUGGGUUUCUUGAGAGUGCAAGAGGCGGAUGGAAUUCCUGGUGGAGAGGGGAAAUGCUUAGAUAUCAUGAAGAACUCCGAUUGCGAAGGCAGUCCGCUGGGGCACGUCUGACGCUGAUGCUCGAAGGUGCGGGAAUCAAAUAGGAUUAGAUACCCUGGUAGUCCGCACGGUAAACGAUGAUUACCCGCUGUCGGCGGCAGACAGUCGGCGGCCAAGCGAAAGCGAUAAGUAAUCCACCUGGGGAGUACGCCGGCAACGGUGAAACUCAAAUGAAUUGACGGGG
rnacentral:rRNA from 1 species